rnacentral:rRNA from 1 species
UUGGGCGUAAAGCGAGCGCAGGCGGUUAGAUAAGUCUGAAGUUAAAGGCAGUGGCUCAACCAUUGUAGGCUUUGGAAACUGUUUAACUUGAGUGCAGAAGGGGAGAGUGGAAUUCCAUGUGUAGCGGUGAAAUGCGUAGAUAUAUGGAGGAACACCGGUGGCGAAAGCGGCUCUCUGGUCUGUAACUGACGCUGAGGCUCGAAAGCGUGGGGAGCGAACAGGAUUAGAUACCUUGGUAGUCCACGCCGUAAACGAUGAGUGCUAGGUGUUAGGUCCUUUCCGGGACUUAGUGCCGCAGCUAACGCAUUAAGCACUCCGCCUGGGGAGUACGACCGCAAGGUUGAAACUCAAAGGAAUUGACGGGGGCCCGCACAAGCGGUGGAGCAUGUGGUUUAAUUCGAAGCAACGCGAAGAACCUUACCAGGUCUUGACAUCCCGAUGCCCGCUCUAGAGAUAGAGCUUUACUUCGGUACAUCGGUGACAGGUGGUGCAUGGUUGUCGUCAGCUCGUGUCGUGAG